rnacentral:lncRNA from 1 species
GAAAGUGUUGGAGGGAGAAGGAAGCCUGUGCGCUGAAGAAGGACGUGAGCUCGUAAGGAGUACGGGAUGUGCUAAUAUUUAAAGAAGGUCUGAGAAGGGGUAAAAGUGGAAUUUUUACCACGCCGGCGUUUCGAGUUUUUCGGGAGUAGUGGUUGUCGUGGGCGCCCAUUUAAAAAAGAUUGCAAUCAUCAGAUUGGAGACCGCGAAACGGAAGGAUAUUUUCAUUGCGUCUGUUUUAGACAGGAAGUUGAAAAGAAUUUUGAAGUAAAGACUAUGUUUUACUCCGAAACUGGGGGGCAUGUGUGUGGCGGAACCG